AAAGACUAGCGCGCAGGCGCACUCUCGCGUUCUUUCUGAGGUCUACCUCGUGCGUCUAAGUCAUGGCGAUUCCCUACUGUACAGCACCCGAUUGAGUGUGCUGGCUGUGGCCUUUGAAUAAAGUCUUGUGAAAACUCAUCAUCAUAAGAUGUUGAGCUAAAGGAUCUUCAUGAUGAAAUUUCUGUGAAUGGUACAUUCUCAGUCCCAGUUUCUGAGGCUGAAAGAGGAUCCUCGGGUAGCUAUACCGUGGUGGCCAUCCUGCUUCCAUACUUGGGCCUGGACCCAAAGUGUAUCAUUCAUGUAUCUGUGGUAUGAGACAGAACACUGAACUAUUUUGCAGGCAAG